GCUCCCGCAGCAAGAACUGGUGUGCGUACAUCGUGAACAAGAACGUCAGCUGCUCGGUGCUGGACGGGACCGAGAGCUACGUCCAGGCCCAAUACAAGUGCGCCUGGAACGAGUUUCCCUGCCGACCGACCCCGGUAUACCGAACAAGUUUCAGACCUCGCUACACGGUUGCAUAUAAGACUGUGACAGAGCUAGAAUGGAGAUGCUGUCCUGGGUACAAAGGUGAAGACUGCAGAGAAGGGCCGUCGGAACAGCCUAGGGCAGCUCGUCGACCCACAACACCAGCAAAAGCUAUUGUGAAGAAAGGCUUGGGUAACUUAUUCUUUGAGUUUUGGUAU